GUCCUUAGUUACCAGCACGUUAUGGUGGGCACUCUAAGGAGACUGCCGGUGACAAACCGGAAGGAAGGUGGGGAUGACGUCAAGUCAUCAUGGCCCUUACGGCCUGGGCUACACACGUGCUACAAUGGUCGGUACAAAGGGUUGCCAAGCCGCGAGGUGGAGCUAAUCCCAUAAAACCGAUCGUAGUCCGGAUCGCAGUCUGCAACUCGACUGCGUGAAGUCGGAAUCGCUAGUAAUCGUGAAUCAGAAUGUCACGGUGAAUACGUUCCCGGGCCUU
rnacentral:rRNA from 1 species